UCGCAGCGUGCAUAAGUAGUAUGUUGACCUUUGAUAAACUGCUGACGGCCGCCGAUGAUUUCAUUUGCUUUUGGGAUGCAUAGAAACCGACAAGUUUCACAAAAGUAUCAACGAAUUAGGAUUGAACUAUUUCCAAAUGUAUAUUAGAGAUUACCGGCUUUGUAUGCUAGCGACGGGAAAGUCAUUCUGUCAUGACUGAAACAUUCAAACUGAUGUUUACUGACGGUCGAUUUUAUGAUCUUCAUUGGUAAUGAGCUAACCAUCUUGACACACUACCGAUCUGAAGUGGACGUUGCGCUCAACUUUCUUCUGCCGUGCACCAAAAUCUUACUGAAAAUAACGUUCUAGUCGCUGGUGUCGGAUAAGGAUUGCUACUGCACACUGAUUGGCUAUACACUGAAGCGGUUAGUCACGUUAUUUGAUGCAAGAGAAUACGUCAUAUUUGUGCCCACCCAUGAAAAAAUAAUUCGGGUGAAGAGAACCCGUAUGCUGUUGUUAGUGGUGACUGGUGAAGGAGUGUGGCGAAUGACCUGCAAAAGCUACUGAAGAAAUAAAUAUAGGGUCAUACAUACAUCAUGGAAUACUUUUCCGUAAAGGCAUCUAACUACCCUCGCAAGUACCUCUAAUUGGUACUACAAUGAUUCCAGCUUUAUUCACAACGGCUGCUGCAGCGAAUAUGAUCAAGCCGACACUGCCGCCCCCGCCAGAUUUGUUUGUUUCUGUCUGUUCUCCAGAACCAAAUCUGGGCGCAGCUUCGUUCAUCGGAAUAUGACAUUACCACCUAGUUGGACAAGUUGGCUAAGUGCGGCUUGGAUGCAAUAGUGCCUUCAUUGUUUCCAAGUGAGCCUACGAUUCGUGAAGCUUGCAUCUAUGUGAUAAGUAUGAAUCUAGUUACAUUCGUCGUAUACAGCGUCCACACAUGCCACUUUGAGCAUAAAUAGCGCAAGGAAAGUUCGCAUAACAUUACAAUUGGCUUAAUCAAGUUCAAUUUCCAUUUGUGCUCCGGACCGAACCAUCGCAGUAUAUUCAAGGUGGCUAAAACUACAUCGAGUCAGACGAAAUCCAUUGUCGGUUCGGAAGAUCACGUGGAAUCUUAUGUGCUUCAUACAUCAAAUAUUCACGGAAAGAAACCGUUCUCGGUACUAAGCCUCUUCAGUUUUUUUAUUCAUAUUAAUAGCUCCAGUGUAGAAGGCUGGAUGAAGAAUUGAACUAGUAUGAUAGUGAGGCACCGUUAACGUUAACCGUUAAUUAGUGAUUUGGGGCACAGAAUUGAACUUGCUAUAUCGUUUGGUUAAAUCGGAUCACUUUAUGAAUCUUUAUCUGGAUAACUACAAUAGCUAUCUAUCGACGGUGUAUUUAUUGAAAGAAUCGUAGUCAUUCAUUCAUGAAGCUCAAUAGCGGUUUGGGACGAUUGGGAUCUCAGUUUGACAACUAUUCUGCCCAGCAUACUACACGCCUGCUGGAUGCCGUACGGAACAUUGUAACGUUUCACUAAAGCUCAAUUCUAAUUUGCUCUCGCAUGGUACUGACAUUUACGAGAUCGUGAUUCGCUAGAUCUCCGCCUAUAUCAGUAUUCGCAGUACAUAAAUCCGUUGAAUCUAAAUCCAAUUGCGCCAUAAGUUUCACGUUGUGCCGGAUUCUGAAUGUUGAUAAGCACGAAGGACUACAGGGUAGUCAAAUCUAAGAAGGUUGACUGGAGGAACACUAUAUUACGAGCAACGGUCGAAUCGUUUGCCGAGCUGGAAUUGGCCGAAGAAAAAAGCUUCAGGACCACCAACUAUUUUGCGGUCGGAGAGCUGGCCUGUUUGGUGAAUGAAGUGGCGCGACGACUCCAAGAAAUACAGUAAAGUUCAGAGUGGCGACAAUUCACUAGAAUCGGUGGAGUAUGACGAGCAAAGAUUCGGCCAACAGAAACGAAUGAUGAUGCUGGCGGUACAGAAAAUCCGAAAUACUGCUACCGCGAAGCGUAGCUGACGAAGACGAUUGAACAACCAUUCGCAGUUAGAAUCAAGGUGCCAACAUAUCUACUAACUAUGCACGUAUUUACUAAAUGGAUAUUCCACUAGAGGGAAGAAAAACAAUCCCAUUUAUGUUUUUUAAAUAAAUAAA